rnacentral:rRNA from 1 species
CCUACGGGGGGCAGCAGUGGGGAAUAUUGCACAAUGGGGGAAACCCUGAUGCAGCGACGCCGCGUGAAGGAAGAAGUAUUUCGGUAUGUAAACUUCUAUCAGCAGGGAAGAAAAUGACGGUACCUGACUAAGAAGCCCCGGCUAACUACGUGCCAGCAGCCGCGGUAAUACGGAGGGGGCAAGCGUUAUCCGGAUUUACUGGGUGUAAAGGGAGCGUAGGCGGUGCAGCAAGUCAGACGGGAAAGCCCGGGGCUCAACUCCGGGACUGCCUUUGAAACUGUAUAACUAGAUUGCAGGAGAGGUAAGUGGAAUACCUAGUGUAGCGGUGAAAUGCGUAGAUAUUAGGAGGAACACCGGUGGCGAAGGCAGCUUACCGGACUGUAAAUGACGCUGAUGCUCGAAAGCGUGGGGAGCGAACAGGAUUAGAUACCCGAGUAGUC